rnacentral:rRNA from 1 species
AGACGUCUACAUUAGAUACCCCGGUAGUCCAGGGUGUAAACGCUGCAGACUUGGUGUUGGAGGCCCUUUGGGGGCAUUCAGUGCCGGAGAGAAGUUGUUAAGUCUGCUACUUGGGAGUACGUCCGCAAGGAUGAAACUUAAAGGAAUUGGCGGGGGAGCACCGCAACGGGAGGAGCGUGCGGUUUAAUUGGAUUCAACACCGUAAACUCACCAGGGAAGACUGUUACAUGAAGGCCGAGAUGAAGACUCUGCUAGAUUUUCAG